rnacentral:rRNA from 1 species
CGACACAGGUGGUCGGGUAGAGAAUACCAAGGCGCUUGAGAGAACUCGGGUGAAGGAACUAGGCAAAAUGGUACCGUAACUUCGGGAGAAGGUACGCUCUCGACGGUGAAGUCCCUCGCGGAUGGAGCUAUUGAGAGUCGCAGAUACCAGGUGGCUGCAACUGUUUAUUAAAAACACAGCACUGUGCAAAAUCGUAAGAUGACGUAUACGGUGUGACGCCUGCCCGGUGCCGGAAGGUUAAUUGAUGGGGUUAGACUUC